UACAGAGGUGGCAAGCGUUGUUCGGAAUUACUGGGCGUAAAGGGCGUGUAGGCGGCCAUCUAAGUCAGACGUGAAAUCCCCCGGCUUAACCUGGGAACUGCGUCUGAUACUGGACGGCUUGAGUAUGGGAGAGGAACGUAGAAUUCCAGGUGUAGCGGUGAAAUGCGUAGAUAUGCGGAGGAACACCGAUGGCGAAGGCAAUCCCCUGGACCUGUACUGACGCUCAUGCACGAAAGCGUGGGGAGCAAACAGG
rnacentral:rRNA from 1 species